ACCGCCAAGAGGGUCACGUAUGCACUGUUUUUCAAGUUAAAACAUUCCGUGAGUCCUUUUCAUUCAAGCCCAAAGUAUCUCAAUUACCAGUUAGUCGUAUGGGCUUAUCGAUAUCGUUGGGCUUUGCGAUCCUCUAGUUUUUCGGCCAGAGGAGGUUGUUCAGCGCACCCCCUCCGCCAACUAGCCUACUCCUUACAGACGAGUCACUGUGGAGGUCAUUAAACGCGCGGAUACCGCUGAAUGUUUGGAACUUUCGUUCCUUUCGCCUGAAGGGAGCUAAAACUGACGACGCACUUCAUGGACAGAACAUCAGCCAUCUACUCCAUCGCGUGCCUCAUCUUGGUGUCCAGCUCCGGUCCUCUCUGGGUCGGUACUCCAGGAGUUCUCUCUGCUCCAGUUGAAGUGCUGGUGGAGUUUGGGCCUUUCUCCCUGAGUCCCACAGCCAACCAAUACACACUCAAGCAGGGGGGCAUGGAGCUGGCCCGUGUGGAUGUCUCCUCCUGUAUUCCUGUGUGUGUGUUGAGAGUAACUCUGCAGGAGUCUUCACCACAGGCUCCUCUGGAGCUCCAGGCUCUUGUGGACACACAGCUCCUCCACACUCAAGUGUUCUCCAUCAGUCUCAUCAAGAGCUCCAUGUUCAGAGCAGCGGUGUCCUCCACCAGUGCUGUUCUCACAUGGACGUCCCCGGGACCAGAGCACAGUGUGUGUGUGUGUGUGUCUGACAGGUGUUGGCCACCCUCUCAAACAGACUCACACACACACACACACACCUACCAGCUCCCAGGGCUAAACCCUGCGACUACUUACGCCCUCAUGGUGGAGCAGGAGACACUCAUGAGACACAGCAGGAUAACUCUUCUGCAGAAACUCCAGUUUCUCAUUGAGACAGCUCAGUGUCCAGUGGGCUGGCUGGCAGUGGGUUGGAGCUGUUUUCGAGUGUGGCAGAAGGUGUGUGUGUGGCCAGAGGCCCAGCAGGCAUGUGCUAGGGCAGCCUCAGGGGUCCAUCUAGCAGACCUUCACACAGAGGAGGAGUUAGAGGCAGUGUCCAGCUAUCUUCUGUCCCAUAGCCACCUGCUGCUGCUGUGGACGGGCCUCAAUGACCAACAGACAGAGGGUGUGCUUCAGUGGUCAGACGGCUCCCCUUAUAACCUGUCAGUUCCUGUGACAUCAGCUCUUUCAGCCAAUCAGACGGACUGUUUCGCACUGCAGAGGAAUGCUACUGGUCCAAGCUACUUCCUGACUGCUUUCUUCUGUGAUAUAGCCCUCCCAUACCUCUGUCAUGCUGAGUGUGAGUGUGAGUGUUUGUGUGUGUGUGUGUGUGUGUGUGUGUAGCCCUCCCAUACCUCUGUCAUUCUGAGUGUGAGUGUGUGUGUGUGUGUAGCCCUCCCAUACCUCUGUCAUGCUGAGUGUGAGUGUGUGUGUGUGUGUGUGUGUGUGUGUGUGUGUGUAUAGCCCUCCCAUACCUCUGUCAUGCUGAGUGUGAGUGUGAGUGUGUGUGUCCCUCCCAUACCUCUGCAAUGCUGAGUGUGUGUGUGUGUGUGUGUGUGUGUGCGUGUGUGUGUGUGUGUA
ensembl:lncRNA